CGUAUAGGUGUGGUUUUUGGUUUUAGUUUUUGUUGUUGUUGUUUUUUGAACGUGUUUGUUUUUACUUGAGUUGAGUUUGGGCAGGACUCCAUGGGUGUCCUCCCAAGCACCUUCCUCUCUCUUUAACAUCUACAGCUCUGGCUCUGAAAGCGUCCAAAUUUUCUCCGAAGAUGUUAAGAGGACGGCUUUGCUUGGGAAGUCCUGUGAACCAUGUGAGCAGUGCCUUUGGGAUUGAUCUGCUUCCUGGCUGAGCCAGCCUUUUGGUGGGCAUGACUCAGCAACUAUGAAGAUGUGUGAGAGAGAAAUGCACUAAAAAACUUCUCAUGGCAUUCUGGACACUUCUGACUCAUGCCAAUUUGGUGGAGUCUUAAAGUUUCUGCUGGAUCUUGUUAUUGCACCUGAUUUGUGUUUGGUGUUUGCUAUUGAACUGGACUACUAAUAUGCCAACAACAAAGAAUGAAAUCGCACCAAAGAACUACUACUAAACAGGUCUACAACCCCCUUUUCCUAUUAACCUCCUUUCUCCCCUACCUCUGGUUGCUAGGCUAGAAAGGAAGUUGAGGUGUUUAAUAACCGUAAAUAAGGUAGUUUUAGAAAAUUCUAAGCCUACAGAGCGAGUCAUGGACUGCCAAUGGGGCCUUAAAUGUGGAUAAGCUGGCCUAAGUCAGAGAAGCAGGGAUGGAAGUAGCAGCAUUACUGGAUCUGCUGUUCCUGGACUUGUAGAUUGAGGAAGAGGCCAUGAAGCUGGAAGGCAGAGCGCCCAGGGCACAGACUUUCAUAGGAGCAUCCUGGAAGUAAAAAGCUUCAUUUUAGCUCCAUCAAACUCAUCCACGUUGGACUUCUAACACAAAGCACUGCACUAUAACAUUUUGGCUCUAAAGCCACUAAGCUUGUGAUAAUUUGCCUUUGAAGUGACCAUCUAGUUAGCAUUUCCGGAGGAGGGAAAGUGUAGGGAAUAUCCAGAGAGCUUAAGCUGGGGAUGUAGAGAGUGUGAAAGUGAGCAACAUGGUUCACACAAGCAUAACAAAACACAGUGAAAGCAAGGACAGAGGCAAGCCAGAUUUUGCUUUUAUUUUUCUUUUUUUAAAAAUCGUUUUUCAUUAUUUAUUUAUUCACUUUACAUCCAUAUUGCAGCCCCCAUACCCCCUAUUAUCCCCCUUACACAUUCCCCCCAUUUUCCCUUCCCUUCUCUGAGAAUGGGGAGGUUACCCCUGGGUACCAACUCAUCCUGGCACAUCAAGUCACGUCAGGACUAGGUACAUCCUCUCCCACCGAGGACAGACAAGGCAGCCCAGUUAGGGGAACAGGAUCCACAGGCAGGCAACAAAGCUGGAGCAGAGAUGGAGGGAAUGGCUAACCAAUGACUACCCCAAGUUGAGACCCAUCCCAUAGGGAAGAACUGAUGCUGGACACUAUUAAUGAUACUGUGUUAUGCUUGCAGAGAGAAACCUAGCCUAGCUGUUCUCUGAGAGGCUCCACCUCUCAGAGAGGAAUCAGCCAAUGGAAACAAAUGCAGAGACCCAUAGCCAAACAUUAAAUAGAGCUUGGGGAGUCUUGUGAAAGAACCGAGGAAUGAUUGAGGGAGCCUAAGGGGAUAAGGACUCUACAAGACCAACAGAGUCGACUAACCUGGACCCUUGGUGGCUCCCAGAGACUGAGCCACCAACAAAGAGCAAGCAUGGGCUAGACAUAGCCCUACCCUACACAUGUGAGCAGAUGCACUGCCUGUUCUUCAUGUGGGUUCCUCAACAAGUGGAGUGGGGAGAAGGGCAGCUGUCCCUGACUCUGUUGCUAGCCACAGUCUCUUAACCAAGAUAAAAGUGAUCAGCUGCUCAGGGGAAUCAUUGUAGAGACUGCCUAGACUGAGUCCUACUAAGAACCUCAGGCUCCAAUGUGAUCAAGUUUUGAAAUGAGGUGUUUACGAGGCCGUUAAGGUCAAAUGAGGUUAUCAGGGUGAGUUCCUGACUGAUAGGUCUGUAAGUAGAGAUACCAGUAAGUUCACUUUCACUGCUACACAGAGAUACUUGUUUAAAAAGGUAUAGAUAUAAAAAA
ensembl:lincRNA Gm42711 predicted gene 42711